rnacentral:rRNA from 2 species
UCCCACCUGACCCCAUGCCGAACUCAGAAGUGAAACGCUGUAGCGCCGAUGGUAGUGUGGGGUCUCCCCAUGCGAGAGUAGGGAACUGCCAGGC